rnacentral:rRNA from 1 species
UGGGGAAUCUUGCGCAAUGGGCGAAAGCCUGACGCAGCAACGCCGCGUGCGGGAUGAAGGCCUUCGGGCUGUAAACCGCUUUCAGCAGGAACGAAAAUGACGGUACCUGCAGAAGAAGGAGCGGCCAACUACGUG